rnacentral:rRNA from 1 species
UACGGAGGGUGCAAGCGUUGUCCGGAUUUAUUGGGUUUAAAGGGUGCGCAGGCGGCGCGUUAAGUCAGAGGUGAAAUCCCGCAGCUCAACUGUGGAACUGCCAUUGAUACUGGCGUGCUUGAGUACGGACGAGGUAGGCGGAAUUUAUGGUGUAGCGGUGAAAUGCAUAGAUACCAUAAAGAACACCGAUAGCGAAGGCAGCUUACUAGACCGUAACUGACGCUCAUGCACGAAAGCGUGGGGAUCGAACAGG